GCCUUCGUGGUGCAAUGGUCAGCACACCAGGCGCAUAUUCGAGAGGUCCGUGGUUCGAGUCCCGGCGAGGGCA
rnacentral:tRNA from 1 species